ACCCAAAGGUCGCGCAUAUGUUUUCAGGUCGGCCGCCAUUUUGAAAUUUGUGAAAACAAGAGGAUACACAAUAUCGUCAAAAAUCAAUAUAACUGUUGAUUCAAAAGCAUGGAAACGAUUAAAAAUGAAAUGAUUGUUUAAUCAUAACAUGUGGUGAGACUGAUCAUUGAUAAGUGACCUGAUGGUCGACCGGACAAUAAAUUAUCAAGUGCUGUUUUCAUAUUGGAGGAGAUGAUUGCAUGUACGGGCACUGGGCUAGGAAAAUCAAACCCUGGCGAUUAAACACUGACUACUCUAAAACCCGAUGAAAGUGGAAGACCUGAAAGACUAAGUGACAAUGUGGUGUAAAAAGAAGUAUGGUGCAGCCAACUGAUGCUAGGCGGAAUCUGGCAAUAACAGAAAGAAUUGGAUAUAUGCCAAUAAGUUUGCCAAAAAGGGAAUAAAUAUUCAGUAAAAAUGACUUCAGUGUAUACUUCUCUAGUGUUAAACGGCAGUUGCAUUUAAUGGAAUAAUUCUUAUUUUGAAUUUUAUAUAUAUUUAGCAGAUUAGAAAGCUUCAAAGGUAUUUCUAUCAUUCGUUUCUAAUUUGUCAUGUAAAAGUCAUUUUCAUGUUAUUAUUUUGAAUUCUGUGAAUUAAAUAAUUUACAAAGAA